rnacentral:misc_RNA from 1 species
GUGUGCGCUUAUUCGCUUGACCAUAUAACCGCAAGUUGCCUUGGGUUACAUAUAUGACCUGGGGGUACAAAGCCCAGAUACGAACUAUAACGACUCAAUUAAUAAGAAGACAUUUAAGUCUUCCGCCUUAGCCUCACGACACGUCAAGAUAGAUAUCUCAAACGCUCGCUACGUCACAAGUUUUAAAAGAACAUGUACCGGCCACAGUGCCGAUCCAUAUAAAUUAGUAAGUAUGCUAUGUCAUUCAGAGAGUGGUGGGUCUGGGUAGACUCGAACUACCGACCUCACCCUUAUCAGGGGUGCGCUCUAACCACCUGGGCUACAGACCCAAAUGCGUCGACUCAAACCAUGGUGGAGCCUGUCGGGAUCGAACCGACGACCCCCUGCUUGCAAAGCAGGUGCUCUCCCAGCUGAGCUAAGGCCCCGAUAAUGGGACACCUCAAACCGUUUCCGGCUUGAAUCUCUGAAUGCAGGUACUUUGUGAAGACGCCCGACAGGACGAUGCUGUCAUGCUCAAAAGGAGGUGAUCCAGCCGCACCUUCCGA